UACGAACUGUGCGAACGUUAUUCGGAAUUACUGGGCGUAAAGGGCUCGUAGGUGGCCAACUAAGUCAGACGUGAAAUCCCUCGGCUUAACCGGGGAACUGCGUCUGAUACUGGAUGGCUUGAGAUUGGGAGAGGGAUGCGGAAUUCCAGGUGUAGCGGUGAAAUGCGUAGAUAUCUGGAGGAACACCGGUGGCGAAGGCGGCAUCCUGGACCAACACUGACGCUGAGGAGCGAAAGCCAGGGGAGCAAACGGGG
rnacentral:rRNA from 1 species